GACGAACGCUGGCGGCGUGCUUAACACAUGCAAGUCGAACGAAGUGGCGAACGGGUGAGUAACGCGUAAUCAACCUGCCCUCAGAGGGGGACAACAGUUGGGAACGACUGCUAAUACCGCAUACUGUAGGAGGGGAUUGCGUCUGAGUAGCUAGUUGGAGGGGUAAAGGCCCACCAAGGCGAUGAUCAGUAGCCGGUCUGAUAGGAUGAACGGCCACAUUGGGACUGAGACACGGCCCAGACUCCUACGGGAGGCAGCAGUGGGGACUCUUCCGCAAUGGAAGAAAGUCUGACGGAGCAACGCCGCGUGAGUGAUGACGGCCUUCGGGUUGUAAAGCUCUGUUAAUCGGGACGCGGUACCGGAAUAGAAAACCACGGCUAACUACGUGCCAGCCGCCGCGGUAAUUC
rnacentral:rRNA from 1 species